UAAAAUCGAAAACGAAAGUCUUUACGGAAGUGGCAAUUAAAAAUCAAUUGGACUAAGGUUAAACGACCCUAAAGUUUUUAAUAGUCUUGAGAUGCAAAAUAGUAUAAAAAGCUACUGGAAAAUAUAUUUAAGCUAAUAAUAACUGAAUUUUUAGAAAUUUUGAAUAUAAGUUUAUGGCUUUUAAAUGUGAUGUGCCUCCACCUCCAUCAAAAUAUUCAUACAAUGAUCUUGGUAUAAGUCUUUGUGUUGAUUAUAAUUCAGAUGAAGAAGAUGACAAUUGGAUGGUCGAUGAUUAUCAUGAAGAAAGUUUAGCAGAUCAUAACGUUGAUAAUAAGUCAAUAAAAAAUGAAUUGGUUUCAUCUUUCAGUGACAGUGAUGAUGUUGCUUGUCGCGAAACUAACACUUAUAGCCAAUACAAUUAUCAAGAAUUGUUAGAAAGUAUUGAAGAAAAAUAUCUUAGUAAACAAGAUGAUUUAGUGCGUCAAGAAUUGCAAGCAAGUUUUAAUAAUGUUCCAGAUCCAUAUUCAUUCCUUCUUCAUGUCAUGUACAAAGCAUUUUUUGAUUUGUACAGCAAGCGUGUUCCUAUCACUUACUUUGCUUUAGAUGAAAUGAAAACAUGGUUAGAUUUAAAGAAAAGUCAAGGCGAAUUUGUUCCUGUUCCGGCUAAUUUCCAAAAAAAGUCAGCGCUAGAAUUUAUAUAUCGAAAAGGGUAUAACUAUUUGAUCUUAAUUACAAACGUUUUUCAACUUGAUAAUGAGGACAACUCUUUUUUGGCAGAAGUUAUUGAACUUGAAAACUUAACAUGCACAAAGUUUAAGGAAACAGUAAUUAUUGUGCAGACAUUGCAUUUGCAAAAUUGUUUUACUGCUGAGCAAGUUAUGCUUCCAUUAUUAGCAUUUGAUCAAUUACAGAUUCUAGAAAGUUACAUAAAUGAGGAUAAGGAUCUACAAGGAGAUUAUGUCAACAUGCUUAACAAUCUUUGUGCGAUGACUGAUGAAGAGAGGCAUGAGUAUUUAUGCACUGAAAAAGGUUUAGUGGUAAAAGAUGAAUCAAAGUUAAAUCAAAAGACAUUGUCAAAAAUUGCAUCAAAAGCUGUGAAACGUUAUCAUUUAAAUCCAGAUGAAUAUCCUGAAAUAUUCAGAGCAAAAAAUCUUGCUGGCUUAAAGUAUCUUAUUUACAUGAAAUGGAAAGAGAGAAAUGGUGAUCAGGUUGCACUUCAAAAAUGGGAUGACAUGAUUGAGGCUGCUGUUGCAGGUAAAGUUUGGCUACAACAGAAGUUAGUUGAAGCAUACUUAGAAAAUAAUGAUUUGCAAGCUGCAGUAUCUUGGGUGUAUAAAGUUUCUCUUCCACCAAAAUAUUUGCCACCCACUCUGCUUAAUGUAAUGGGAGAAUAUAUAAUGUCUUUUAACUUGUCUCCAGUACAAUCUAGUGACCAAGAAGAUACAUUCUUAAGUACUGGAGAAAAUUGGGAAGAGGAGGUUGAAGUAUCUCCAACUGUACAGUUUUCUUUAUCAAAUGGUUUUUUGUCUGCUGAAAAAGCUCAAGCUUUAGAAAAUCAAUUCUACAAGUUUAAAUUACCUUUAAAAGAUGUCAUUAUAGUUGAUACCAUUCCUAAAUUAAUUGAAGCAGAAAAAAUAUUGUUCAAGCCCAAGCAAGUAAUAGGGUUUGACACAGAAUGGAAGCCAUCAUUUACAAGAGCCGGUGAACAAGACAAAGUUUCAACUCUUCAGCUGGCUGUGAUUGACAAGGUUUUUAUUGUUGACAUGCUACAAUUGUAUGUUGCUGAUUCAGCAGAAAACGCUCUUAGAGAAUUCUUCUACAAGUUUUUUACUUCCAAGGAUGUUGUUAAAAUAGGUUAUGGAAUAGUUGGUGAUCUUAAGAUUUUGAUUGGAAUGUUUGCAUAUAUGAAAGAAUUUAUUCUGAAUGCUUCAAACUUGGUAGAUUUAAAUGAAAUAAGUGAAAAGAUAUUAAAGUAUCCAGUGACAAAUGCAUAUCUUUACCCUGUUCAAAGUGUUCAGAAUGAGAAAGGUUUAAGCUUGCUUAUUUAUCGAUUGUUGGGUCAAAGUCUAGAUAAAACAUUUCAAGUUUCAGAUUGGGAUAAGCGUCCCCUUUCUACAAAUCAAAUUCAAUAUGCUGGUUUGAAUGUUUAAUCUUUAGAUGCUUUCUGUUUAUUGGAAGUUUAUAAAGUUUUAAAUAAAAUUGUUUUUGAAACACAAAUAAAAGUUAACAUGCUUGAAAAUGUGAAGUUGAAAUGGUUAAAGCCAACAAAUGUACCAAUUCAGCGUAAAGAUAAGUAUGAAAAACGUAAUGAGCUGCAAAAAAAAAAU
rnacentral:misc_RNA from 1 species